GUCCCUGUAGUGCAAUGGAUAACACGUUGAACUUCUUAUCGAAAGAUAGUGGGUUCAAAUCCCACCUGGGAUG